AUGUGCAUAUGUGUGCGUGCGCGCGCGCACAUAUGAACGAAUCGCAAGGAAUAAAAAAUAAUAUCAGCUGUUUCUGCAUUUUCCAGUUUUUGAUACGAGAUCGUCGAGCAAUACGUUUUCGGGACAACGAUGGAUCGUGCAACGAGAAUCGCGUGGAUCAUUUAAGGUCGGGGGCGAUCAAUGCCCGAUGGCGUGGACUGGAACGCAACGCUGGAGAAAUCCUGCUCCAGAGUGACGAUGUGCAACGAUCGAUCGAGCUGCUGGACAAAGUGCUCUCAGAGUACGACGAGCACGAAGCAGAGGGCGAAGGUGGUGGAGGCGUCGGCGUCGGCAGUGGCGGCGGCGGUGGCGGUGGCGGUGGCGGCGACGGUAGUGGAGGUGGCAGCGGCGGAGGUGUUGGGGAUUGUGGCAGCAGCACCGAACCGAGUAUUGGCCUCACACCCGACGACGAAAGUCCGUCCUUAGGGCAUCAAUCCGAGGACGACGGUUACAUGAGUAUGAAUGGACGAAAAGCGAAGAUGGCCCUGAUAGCGCUGCGUCCAGUUCCAGAUUGUCCAGAGCCACAGGAUCUCGCGGGAAUAUCUACGCAAGAAUUUCCGCCACCGCCGGAAGAAGCCGAACGAAUCAUUUCUACUUUGUUGCCCAUGGUAUCGCCUGGAAAUUCUUCGAAGAGAAACCAAGGUCACUCCUCUUCUCGUCGAAGUGGUCGCCAACAGUGGAUGAUAGCCAUGGAGGACAGCAUACGACAUGGAAACGGUAGCACGGUUACCACUCAAACGACUCUCCCCAAAACUCGACAUCAAAGACCGUAUGGCUGGGAAAAUGGGAACAGCGAAGCAUUGAAAUUGGCUCAACCUCCGAGCCCGCCGAGCAAAUUCGCCAGCUUACCAUACGAUGGUAAGGUGUCUUUCGGUUGGAUCCCGCCACGAACCAAUCCAACUACUAUCGAGAAACAUCGCGAGGUUAGACGUCGAUCAUCGGAAGAAGAUGGCCUCGAGGCGGACAAAACUCAUCGACAGAGCUUCGACAAGGAUCGAACGCCUCAUCUACGAAAGCAACGUCAGAGUAACGAAAUCAUCAAGUCGAGCAGCGUGGAGGAUCGUCUGCUGAUGAAUCACGAGCAAUCCGAGCAGAACAGCCGAAGAAGAAACGAUUCUGACUCGAGCGAAGGCAGAUUCUCGAGAAACUCCGAAUCAGAGAGAUCUUCUAUCCCACGGUCGAGCUCGGUCAGCGUCGAAAGAUAUUCGAUGCGAGCCACUUGCGGAUCAUCCGACUUUUCCAGGGCGAACUCCACCUCGAACGAAAGAUUCCACUCAGAUUUUUCGAUAGCCGUGGCCAGUGCCAGUUCCAACGAUCGAGUCUCCGUGCCAACGUCCGAUCCUUUCUCCAUUCGAAACCUCGACUUUGUUUCCUUCUCUUUGCCGACCAGAACAGACUCCAAUGAAAGAUUCUCGGCACCAACCUCGGACAGGUGUUCGGAGGAACGUUACUCGGACAUGUUCUCCACGAGGAAUUCGGACUUCUCCACGAGGAAUUCCACAGACUUUAGGACUCAAUCUGAGGAGGAAAGAUUUUCUGACGACUCGUUGGAGGAGCUUCUGCCUCCUCCCCCGCCCAUCAGUAAGAGACAUUCUAUUGCUUGGGAAGUACCUCUGGAGGAUGAUCCACUUUAUGCUCCCGGAAGUACCAAGGUGAUUGGUAGGAGACGACGUAAAAGCAGCGACGUGUCCAGCGUCGGAUCAGCGUCCAAACUACGCGACUUCGACGACUGGCAAGACCCCCGGUUAUCGACCACUGACGAUGAUCUAGUCUCUCCGUAUUCGGACUCCUCGACGAACGAGCUUGAUCAGAUACGACCCCAAGAACUAACCAAGAACGGCACUUACGUGAUACGUCGUGGUCGAAAGAAAGAACGAAAAAGUUUACCAAAAGUCCCGACCAAAACCAAAAGCUUAUCGUUUGAGAAUAACGAGGAGAAUCGGUUGUCUGAUGUGAAACGAUACUCGAGUACUUUCGAUAAUAUUAGAAGUCUGCUGAGAGAAAAUAAACUGGACGAACCGAUGAACGAUCCACCGAUGGAAUUUCCACCGUCGGUUCCACCCGACCUGGUCAGAGUCGUUUCUCUUCCAGCGAUUAACGACGAAACCAGCAAUUGGCCGCGAGAAUUGGAAGUAACUGUCGAAGAGGAAGAAAGUUCAGACCUUUCAGACAAGGAUAAAAAACCUCGGGAGAUGUUCGAGCUGCUCCAGUUGUCGUCCUCGUUAUCGUCCACCGAUAAUCCUGAGAAAGGCAGAAUCGAUGUCGAUUUGUCGAAUCAAGAGUCGAGAAACGCUACUACAGAGUUGAACAGCACGUGCAACGGAGUUUCGCUAUCAGCCUCUAACAGCUAUUCGAAAGGGUUCGCUGGUUUAACACCGUCUAGUGGGAAUGUGUUUAACGAGGAACCAAGAAAAUCUCCAAAUUCUAGUAACGAACAUCGAUUAACGUCCAAGAUCCCUGUUAACUUGCUGAUUGAAGAUCAGAUUGUGAAAAAGGCUUUGAAGGAAAAUCGUAGACAACUGGAGAAGGUCAGUGAUGCUAUCAAGGAAAUUGAGAAUGUGAAGAACAGCGAGUCUUAUUCGGAGAGCAAGACACGAUGGGCAAGGAGUGGAGAAGCGAAGCAACCAUUGGCGAGGAAAAGCAGUCUUGACAGCGAAUCGAAUGAUCGUGGAGUUGUGGAUCGAAGUGGAGCGAGGAAACAGCACCAUGAUUCGGAUUUUGAUUCGGAUACAGCGUCUAAAACCAGUCCUGAAACAACGGAUAUAGAGGCAAAAAGAACUAAUGGGUCGGAUAUCUACGCGUCAGGGAAAAGAUUGAGACAAAAUGGAGUUGUUGAGACUCAUAAGAAUGAUCAGAAGCAGAUUGAAAAUGUAAUCGACGCUAUUCUUGAAGAUUCCAAGAAUCCAGAUUUUCAGGUGAGCGUAGAAGUUCUUGAGUUUCCUCCGUUACCACCAUCGCCUGUCGAGGAAGCGGACGAAGAAAGUUCAGACAUCGGUCAGACUGCCGCAAUCGUCUCUAAGCCAAAAAAUCAUAGCAAUCGAACGAUGGAGUACAGACCUAGGGUACCACCUCAUCGUGGACCUGCUGCUAAUCAUUCCCUCUCGGAUUCGAAAGAUCAACAAACGUCUCUCAAUACCAGAUCCAUGGAUGCUGGAUUUUCUCGGGGUAAAAGAACAACACCUAGUGCCACCAAUUCCAGACGAGAGCAAAUACCCGUAGAACGAAGGACUUUGCCUACGGACCUACCUGGACCUUCACGACGACGUCCCUUCACCAAGAGACAUUCGCCGUCGGCGGAACCGUGCUCCUCAGUUGGAAAUGGAGGCUGUAGUAGCAGUACUAACGCAAACGGAGCAAACAACGGAGCUUGUAGCAGUAGCAGUGGUGGAACCACCGGUAACAUAGCGACUGGUACCAGCGGAAUGCAAACUUCUUGUUCGCUUCCAGAAACCCCUGUUUUCGCUAGAGGGAGCGACAUUCCCAGAACUCCCCAGCAUGCCAGCAAUUCGACACAGAUGCGUCGACAACCUGGUUGGUACGCACCAACCACGGCUACCACCGGGUAUCGCAGGAAUAACCCGGGUCUGGAACAGGCGAUAAUCGGAACCGAGUUGUUGCGAUUAGCCGGUGGCCCGAAUCGUGGAUGGUACCCGACGAGAAAGGCGAACCAACCGCGGCCAGCCUCGAUCGAGCAUCUCGAAAGACUAAACAACGCGUACGAUCCACGCUUGGCUGGCUCCGGAGACCAAAGGAAACCAUUGACUCUGCCGACAAACAUCACACCGAACAAAUACUUCGGCCAAAGUAAGCACAGCUCCGCCUCCAGCACUCGCGAGGCGCUACGGAGGGUCACUAGCUUGCUCAUCAAGAAAGGAAGCGGCAGCAAGGAUGGCAAAAGUGGAAAGGACAAUGCAUCACCGUGUGGCCCAUACGCAGUUGGAAAUGUUGGGAAAGCUACGACUAAUCCAAAUCCAGUGAAAGUUCUCUAGGAUGAACAUCCGUAGCACUGACAUAAGUAAUGAAAAAAAGACCCCUUCUCUCGGUGUAUCGCUCCCCGAGGGAUCUGCUUGGAAGACUUAAAGCUGUAAGCUAAAAAACCUUUUAUAAAUAGAGUUUCGUUACUUUUUAAACAGACCAUGCACGAAUAGCGCGGUAAAUUAUGUUCCAAUGCAAAUUAUGUUUCGUGUUAAAGAAUAUCCAAGCCGCUGGUCCAACAAUAAAAUACGAUAAUGAACCGAAUAAAGUUCAUCGUCAUAAAAUAUGUAAAGUAUGUAUGUAAAUACAGUUCAAAAAGUGCAGCAAAGUCGAUCCACGAUUUAUAAUAAAAUGAGAGACGGAGAAACGGAGAAAAAGAGAGACAGGGAGAGACUAACAAUGAGUGGAAUAGCUAAUUGAAAACGAGGCGAUAAAAUAAUAAAAUCACUAUUAAAUCAUGGUGAUAAGAACACCGUUAUGAUGGAAUAUUAUUGUGCAAUAGUGAGAUUAAUAAUUUGACUCGUAUUUUUCCGAUCUGUGUAAUUGUUCGAAUUUCAAUAGUUUUUCUUCGCAUAUAAUUAAGAGGACGAAUUGUUGGUCCAAGUUUGGUGCCCUUCCUGUACCAUACGAUACGAUUCGGUCAUAUUCUAUGCCACACGGAUACUUAUCCUUGUAAGUACUUGUUUGUAAGUUUUUUAUUUUAUCGCUGGUAGAGGGGGAACGUGGCUGUGUGUGUGCACACGCAUACAUCUUUGCACACGUAACAUAACCGGUACACACAUGGCAUUCCAAAAUAUCCAUUCCCUUUCCACCAGCAGUUUACCAAUGUCCGCCUCUAGUCUGAACAGCCAACAGCAGUUCUAUUAAUAUUCUUUGGUUAUUUUUGAAAAAGCUCUUCUUACCAAGAGAAACAGAACGAAGGAUAGAGAAGAACUUUAUGUACAAGCCAAACAACGUUUCCUUCAAUUUGUCUGUAAAGGUGCGUCUAGAGCGAGCUGAAUAAAAUUCAAGCAUAAACGAAACAUGUAAAUUCUAUCGGUAUUUGACGAUUGCUGGCCUCUAAGAACGCCGGAAGAAUAUUCGUCUGAUCGUUGUGAAUCGAUCAACGAACAAAUUGCUCGACGAACGUUUACGCUAAACGAGUGUAGGCGAGUGCUGCUCCUGCUCUCUCUAUGUUCUAUGGUCGUUUCGUCUAAUCUUAACACUCUACACAAAGAGCUCGAGAAGUAUCUUCAUUGCCACGACAUGAUUUCUCGCCAGUAACAAGCAACAUUGCUGUCAAGUUCGGAUAGUUUGGCUAGUCAAGUAACAGAGAUCAGACACACCCAACAAUUUGCGUGUACUACGUGCGCUACGUAGCUGCACACUAUCGGUAUUGAUCCAUACGCACCGUUCUCUCGUUCUCGCUCGCUUUAUCCCUUUUCUCCAGCUCCUGGCAUCGCAGAGAUGUGGCCUUCUUCUCACGAUUUCUUAUCAACAACGAAUACAGAGAUAGCGGCAUGUAUGAAUAUUAACGCGGCUAACUGUAUUCGUGAAGCGACCAGGAUACCGGCACCAGAGUUGAGAACUUGCACCGAUAUGAUGGUAACCAGGAGAACUUUAAACAUAACAGAGAGAUAUAACAGAAGGAUAGAAUCGUUUCGUACGGAUACAAUGGAGUUUGUAUUUUCCGAAUAUGAUAUAUUCUCGAGCGAGUUGGAACACAUCGAGAAAUGGAGGAAGAGUAUCCGCCGUCGCGACGGUCGUAGCUGGUUUUUAACGUCCGUCGAUUCGAAGGAAAGGCCGGAAAGGCCGUCGAUUAUUAUGCAGGCGACAGACAAUUGCCAACGCUUCCCCUAUUAACAUAUAGCGAGAGUAAAAACGUGGCUGAAAUACACGACGCAGUUGGUGCGUCGCUCCAGUACCAGCUUUGCUUGUACACUCAGAUUUUAAUAAUCCAAUGAGAUAAACAAGUAUACGCACUAUACUAUAUAACACAUGAUGACAGAAAAUUCAAUUACAAAGCGAGCAAUUUUUAUCGGUAAAGAAAUGCGGAUGAUUUGGAUGGGUAUCGAAGUAGCAUCUGCCGAAUGCGGGGACGCGCCGAAGAAGAAAGGGUUCUUCAAAGGUUUCUGGAAGAGGUCGCGUCAUUAUUCGCUGGAGAACCAAUAGCCCAGGUUAGGCGGUAGGGUGACGGACCAGCAACGACAGAGACAGGCGCCAAGGCAACAGCACCAUUAUCGACACCACGUCGCUACGAGCGCUUUGACACACAGUGCUUGCUGUUGCAUCGUCCAGUAACCUCGGUGCUGCUUCGUGGUAGAUGCAGCGACAAGGUUCGCGUUCCUUCGUCCAUUUCAUCGAGCUUUUAUUCCGCCCGAUCGGUGGUCUCCGAGUCCAACAAGCUGCGUCAGCCCGUGGGUAAAAUCUUUUUGCGUAUUAAUUACGUUUCUCUGUCCCUCCUUGUUUCUUUUUUCUUAAACACUCUCUGGCUAUUCGGCUAAAAGAUUUUCUUUCCAUUCCUUCCGUUUAUCGUUACAUCUGGUCGUAUGCGGUAAUUAGGCUGUUUCGUAAAUUAUGCUACGAACAGCAAAGGGCGGGUUCUAUACGGAAAAUAAGCCGAAAAUGUAGAAUAAUGUAUUUUGAUUUAAAGCCUUGUUUGUCUAUUCUGCUUGACGCAAUGCGAUAAAUAUAAAUCCAAGUAGGAGUAUUAGUAUGCAGCGAGAUCCUUCAAGUCGAAACAUAGACAACCUUGCAGAGCUCCUCGUAUUUUUAAUGCGUCUGUCUUUAAUUUCAACGGCAAAGAAACGCUUUUAAACUGUUUCAAGACAAUCUGUAGCUUCAUAGAAUCGAGCAAGAAGAAAUUAAUUGGAUGGAGGAUUAGCCAAAAUGUGUGUUAGAAUUAAGGCCGCAUGCGUAAUAAAUAUAUUUUAAUUAAUUAAACUCAAAUUCUCCAAAGAUCGAAUAAAUAGAGCUUGUGAAGAACAAAAGAAUGGUGUAUUCUACGUUUUCAACUUAUUUUGUCGCAUAGAAUCGUCACUUGCUUGUUGGUCUUGCCUGUCUCGAAGUCGAGGUUGUACCAUCAAUUACAAGAUAACCUGCAAAUGAGAUUACGCUACGUUACGUUUUCGUUACCACACUAAAUCGUUUCGUUCCUCCCGCACAGCUCGUUUGCUCGUGCGAGCGCGUUGCUCGAAAGCGCGAAGCGGAAUAGAAGCAACGAGGCAAAGUGCUGCGCGAAUCGUGUCGAUUUCGUCACCAGCUGGCGUUGUUCGAAUCAUUCGAGCGAGUCAUGAAUCGAUUUUUGCUAAAUCGAAUCUAAAUCGAAUUUAAGUCGUGUAAACAACAUGAAGUACGCGAUAUAAAAAAGGAUUCGAGCAACGACACAGCGGCAGCAGUUGAUCCGUUGACUCGUUCGUUUACUCUAUUUAUUUCUAUUUCCUGAAACGCAUAGAAGAAGAAAACUGACACGACACCACUAUAUAGCAAGAUUUUUCAAAUGGUAAGAUGGUUCGAGUUUGCUCGCAAGACGUGUAUACGUGCUGAGUUUCGCGUCACGAGCAGCUAAACGUUCAAUAGUUUUUCCAUUCGAGAGGUAAAUCGCAAGCUCUGUACGGCUUAACCUAAUUGUUAGAUGGAUUUCGAUUAAACGGAACUUUUACUUUACAGAGGUAACAGCACCGAUUAAGUCUUACGACUUAUUAUUAAUGUCAUCGGGGGUGGAAGGUUAGAUCAGAGUCGAUUGGAAUGGGCAACUGCUUGAUUAGUAAAUGCCAAAAAGUACACGGUAGUCGACUUUCUGAUUGACGGACUCGAUCGAUAAUCGACGAUCAUUGCGAUUGAUCGACGACCGAUCGACGAGUUGCGACCGAUCGCGUGCAUCGGAACACCAUAGGCGUUUCUGUCCCAUCAUCUUCCUUGUGUGUAUCCGACACGCCAGCGCGUUUAUAGAAGGCGAGCAAAUAAACUAUAAGUUAUCAAGUAUUCGAGUACUCGGUUAUCUACAUACGUGUACUUUAGACGGCGUUUAUUACUCGCGUAUUAUGGCAGAGGCAAUAGAGAGAAAGAAGAGAGCGUAGAAAAACGCACGGAGGGACGAAUGCGUGCGGAAUCAUGACCAUGUAAAAAGCAAUCACAUUGUAUUUACUAUACGUAUUUAUUGUUAUUCGAGCAAUUUGUAAUUAUACCAACGAAACGUUCCCUCUAGUUUCAACGUUACCAUAUAAAUAACUAUUUUUAUUACGGCAAUUCAUUACCUGUAUCAUCAUCAUCGUCAUCAUCAUCAUCAUCACCACCAUUGUUAUCAUCCUCGUCGUUAUUUAUUUCUCAUUUUUGUUGUUAAGUUGGUACGUAUGAAAUAUGCCACCCCGCCAAGUAAGAUUUCAAUCGAUAUAUUUAUAUCGAUUGAAUGCUCUGUUUUAAUGAUUAAUUAAUAUCAUUAUUCCAAGUUUAUGAGAAUUAUCGGUUGAAAAAUUCAGAUCAAUUUCUUCGGCUAUAGCUUCUCUUUUUCAGUAAUUUACGCAUUGGAAGAUUGCAAAAUGGGAUAAAAAGUUGUGUUUAACUUUACCAAAUACUAAAUGUUCAUUUUCAGCAACUUUCAUGCCACUUCUAUUUUUAAUUUAAGCCCAUAAAGGUUACAAACUUUCUGGCUAUCUAGAAGUAAUAAUAAACUUUCGGUAUAUUUGUUAUAAAUUUUCUUACAUGAAGACUUACGGUAAACAUACAUGAUUUAUGGAAAAUUUUAUAAUAUGUUUGAUAAUUGACAAUAGAUCAAAAUUAAAUGGAUGGUAUUAGAGCACCAAAUUUGAAUUUGAAGAAACAUUUCAUACGCACCAACUUAAUACACAUAAUUAGUACCAAUAACCAGUCUCGCCUCCACAAUCGUUGCCACUGUGUUUAUUUAUAUCUUUUCCUCCUUUAUUAUCAUAAUUUUUCCCUUUUAGUCGCCUUUCACGGCACGCAGGGAUUGCAUAUCUGGGCCUAUCGAGUUCCUGGACCUAAAAGGACUUACUAUUGUAAUAUUAAUAUUAUUAUUGCUAUUUAUUUGAAUUAUUAUCGUAGGGUUGUUGUUACGAUCAUUGUUAUUACCAUUGUUAAUCCUGAAACGCUAUCACCAAAAUGAUAAUGCUUAUGCAGAGAACGUUGAAACACGCAAGUGAAACGCCAGAGACGAUAAAUGCGUUAUCGUUACGGAACGGUAACCAAUGUUAUCUAGAACUAGCGGUUGAAUUACUUACUUACUUGCUUACUUACACAAUUACUAUUAUCGAUAAUCCUCUAUUUGUAUGAUAUAUAGAAGGCGGAUUAAGAUUAUAUAGCCAGUAAUGUAACAAAAUGGUCACGAUAAUAACGAUAACUAUCGCGAAAAUUACAUCUAGUAGAGAAUUGGAAAAUUCGAUAUAGGAUGUAGCAGACGACAUUCUCCUCUCGAAUUAUCGACAAAGUCGAUUCCAAUCGGAAAAUUGCUUGAAUGCCAAAGAUUGCCUUCGCAAUAUAUCGUCAACUCGGCCAACGCAUACAAACCUAUAGAAAAUCACAUUUCUUGGUAUUCGUUCGACUUUCAUUUUACUUCGAUUCUUUAUACAAUUUUGUACGAACCCCUAAGUGCAAAUUUUAGUCGAUCAAUCGAACGAACAAUCGUUUCCCUUUCUCUUUCAUUUCCUAAUUCCUUUUCCUUUUCUCGUUUCAAGCGUCAACCAAACGCAACAACGUGAAUUUCUCCAUCGUGGUCGUGGUCAUGAUCGUUGUCGUCGUCGUCGUCUUUCGAAAUACGCGGAAACAGAAUUUCCCUAUGAAUCAUGUUCAUCGUGGAAACAUGUUUGCACGUCAUUUCACUUUGCAGGUUAUUUAAAACGUAUUUUAAAUAAUCGUAUCGUUCGCGGCUUGUUCGAUAUAUCGAAUACAGUGGAAGUCGUUGGAACGAUUACGAGGGCGAUAACACGAGCACGUGACUUAAAAGGACGCUGGAAUUUCAAGGAAGAGGAAAGAAGAAAUAAGACAGAAGAAAACGAAAGAAAGAAAGAAAAUUGGCAAAUGUCGCUCGGCCGCAACAUAGGUUAUGAUACUGCUUUUUUUCUCCCUGCGUGAUAUAUUUAUUUAUUUUAACGCGGUUUUAUUACACACUCUAUGUAUAGUGGCACUUGUAAAUAACGAUCGCGAAUCAUAAGGAUACGUGACAAAGGAACGUAAGAAGAGAGCAACUGUUCCGCGAUCUUUUCGCCGCGAAAAGAUCGAGCUAGGACUGUGAGAACGAUGGGCAUUCGAGAUACGCAUCGGCCGCGUGCUAGUUGUUGCUACCGCUGCUGUUGCUGCUAUUGCUGUUACCGUUGCUACUGUUACUAAGUACUACAGUUACAAAACCCGAGGGCACGCUGGCCGCUUUGUCGCACAUUCGUUGACAUGCAUGCACACCUAUCUAAUAAGAUAACUUAAAAGGUAAUCUAAUAAAGGUUAAUGCUACUUAAACUUAAUGCCAUUUAAACGAACGUUUGUAAAGCAAUCUUCGUCCCAGCGUUGCGCGGUAUGCUAUAUCUCAUUUCACGUACACGCGUGUACGUGUUCAAUCACUUUUUUCAACGGUGUCUUCUGUUCUCUUCGUCAUCUUCCAUCAUUUUCUUCUUUUUCGUCUUCUUCUUCUUCUUGUUUGCUUCUGCCCCUGUUCUCUCCCUUUCUCCCCCUUAUCUACGAUUUCAACAAAACAACCGUUGUUUCCCUCGAACGGAUAGUAUCGUGAAAUAAUCACCGCUAGCCGUGGAGACCCCAUUUGGAAAGAAGAGAAGCAUCGAAAUGCCUAAACUUUCUUGACAAAUAGCCAAGAACAGAUAGAACGAAGAACGAGGGGAAAGAUGGAUUUCUUCGGAAGAAAGUUUCGAAUGUUUCGAAACGAGUCGAAACGAGUCGAGGGAUUCAUUCGUGUUUCUCGUGUUAAAUAUGCGUUAAAUACGAAGGAAAAAUGUGCACGAUACUCGUGUAAUACAGAUCUUGAACAUUUUAAUCCCGGUAACAGGUGAGACAUUUCGAAAGCUAAGUAUCGAAAUGUUGUCAUCCGUAUUAACGUUUUUCACAUGUGUUCUGAACAUGAUUGUAUUCGAGAAAUUCCAAUACAUCACCGAUAGAAUAAGAGACGCACACUGUGCACGCUAAAGCCAAGUUACCGAAGUUGCCGGACAUGUAAUACGAUACGAUAUUCGUGUACGCCAUUAUCAAAUCCACUGUUGUUUAACUAGCCACGAUGUUAAGACCGGUUCGUUGGGCGCAUCGUUUCUUCUAGUCUUUGUCUCCCUGAAUGAAAACGAGCGUGUACAAGUUGGGAAAAAAAACGGGUCAAAAGCGGAAACAAACUCGGGUAAAUAAAAUGUGUAUGCUUCGCGUAGUUUUAACGAUUUGUAGAUUACACAGAGUAGAUGGACAAAGUCUGUGAAAGGACUAAAGCAAAUGAGGAGAACAUUUUAGUACAAAUUCGAUAGCUUUAUCGUUUCAUCGUUGGAAGAACAAGAAUUAAAGGUACUAAAAAAUGAAAAAAGACGAUAUGGCAAUAAAUGAGUAGCGCAAAUGCACGAACGCAGGAUUACGAAUGCACGAUUAGGAAAGUCAUUCGACGAAAUCAAGCGCUCGACGCCUCGGUACUAAUAUCGACGACAUUUCGUGAAUUACGAUCCAAGUCUUUCCUUCGAAUUCCGUAUAUACGUAACAUUUAACCGAGACCAUCCGUUCGUUUGUAUCUUAUAUAUAUAUAUAUAUAUUUAUGUAUAUAUAUAUAUAUAUAGAUAUAGAUAUAGAUAUAUCUAUAUAAUUGUUCUCUCCACCGCAAAAGGCUUGCGCCUCUCAUUCUGAUCUCUCUAGUCGUUAUUUAUGACAGAAAGAGAUUUGGAGAAUCAUCCAAUUAUUUACUCUGAGAUGCGAAUCGAAUAAAUUUCGCGAGAACGAUCUAAAAAUAGUAGGCUAUAAAGCGUUGAUUGAUAGAAAAUAUAAAAGUGUGGCGAUCCUGGUCGCUGUAAUUAGAAGUAAUGUUUUUUAAGAUGAAACAAAAUCAGUGCGAGUAAGCGAGAGCGAUUUUUAUGUAAAUUUUCUUGAUAAUUUUGUAAAAAGUUUUAUUUAAUCUUCUAAUCUACCAAUAAAUUAAAUAACGGUUUAUAAAUUAAGAUGAACCGAUAUUAUAUAUAUAUAUACACACACACAUAUGCAUGUACACGUAUACGAUAUGCAGGUUAUUCCAUUCUCCGAUUUUUUUGAAAUAAGAACGUUGAGUAAGAUAAACAACAUCAAAGGCUUCACGAGUUAGAACACCAAAAUAGAUAUUUUCUUCGAUACAUAGCUAUUUGUUUCCUGCUUUUUUUUCUCAAUAAAACCAACAAAAUACGGUUGAAGAACUGCGUAUUUGCAGGAAAUUAAUUUUAUUAAACAAAGAAAAAAAAGUAAGCAAAAUUUUAGUACUAUCGAGUACCAUGGUUCGAAAGUAAAAAUAACAUUGACUCUCUUGUAUGCUUGGUGGCUUUGAUGCCGUUUAUUCGAAUAAACGAUUUGUUUUUCACGAUUGAUUUACAGGAACCUCUUCCCUUUCACUUUAGCUCUUCAUCCAACUCCUUUAAAAAAAUCGGGAAAUAAUGAAACACGCAAUUUAUAUGCACUACAUGAGGAACCUCUAUUCCACGUACAGGUAAGUGUAAUUUCCCAAUAAUUUAUGUUAAAUAAUAUCAUUUUGAAACGAGAAUAAACGCGUCCAGAAACCGAGAACCGGAAGUUACAUACGCGUGAUUUAAUCUUAUUCAUGGUCGCGGAAGGACGCGGUUUUUAUCGUCUAUUUAUCACCGCGAGAUAUGCAGUUGUGAGGUAUAGAAUUCUACGAUAAUUUCUCUAUUUUGAACGUUAUUUGAAUGAAUGAAAACAAAAGGCGUUUCAUUACACCGCUUUAUACAAAUUUAUUGUUUCCUUAAACAUUAUUCGUGUGUCACGAUUCUAAAGAUUCUUGUCGACAUUUGCAAAAAAAUCUUAAGAGCAAGUAUAUCGGCUUUACAAAGUUAUAUACCUAAUUUUAACCAACCAAAUGUAGCCCUCUCUUUCUCUCUCUCGCUCUCAUGCGCACAAGCAUCCCAGCGCGCGCGUGCUCGACGCGCACGCAACACCCUCACUCAUCCCCCUAUCCCACCCGCUUUUGCUUUCUAUUUCUGCCUUUCUUGAACCAUAAACGUCGACCAUCUUCCGGUGUACAUAUUAUUUUUUCAAAAAGUCGAAAGUGGUUUUAUCGGCCGUUAAGUUCGAUCCAGUUUCGAUAAGACACGAAAAAUGUAGUAUGUAUGUAUAUAAUCGUCGCAUCGUUUGUCUCGAUAUAACGAGAACGAUUUUUCCAUAAAACGAAAGGAUCUCAAAAUAUAUAUUAUAUAUAUGUGUAUAUAUAUAUAUCCUUUUCCAAACAAAAAAGGAAAAGCUAAAAGCAUGAGGCGGAUGCGAAUAUUUCAACGACGCCUGGGAGUUACCUUUUUAUUACAAUUAUUACUUCAAUGUUUAUUCCUUAUUUUGUUAUCAAUAAAAAUCGUUACAUAGUAGUUUGGGUUGCUGCUUGACACCAGCCGAAUCGACAAGCAACCAGUUAUAAUAAUAAUAGUAGCAGUAAUAUUACAGUAAUAAUAAAUGAUAGCGGUAUUGUGUAUUAGAUGUGUGUGUAUGUGUGUGUAUGUGUACAUGCGCAUCUGUAUACGACUGCGGGAGUGUUCCUCUUGGUAUAACUUAUAGAAGACUGCGCUAGUCGAAUGAGAAACGUUUACACGGUCAAGGAGAACUACGUUGCUCUUCCGAGUAUGUUUUAAUAUAAAUCCAAAUUUUUACUUUCAUAGAUUUGAUUUCUUAUUAGACCCACGUAUCGAACGUAAGAGACUAUCUUCGAUUAUAAUCAGUUGUAUUAGAUAGGGAACACUGAUUACAUAAAAGAAAAAACUAAAACUAAGAUGUAAAUGAAUAAAUGAAGAUAUAAAAAUUAUAGAAAAUCGAAUUAUAUGUGUAUUCUUGUUCCGUGUAUAGUUCUACCUUUCAACUUUCGCAAUCGUGUUCGUGUUUUGUAUGCAUGCCACGCGCGCUUGAAAAUGUCAUAUUUAUAUAUUUAUAUUAUCUUGGUGUACAUCUUGCGACUCUUUUUCUCGUUCCAGUUCUCACCCCUAUCCCUCGCUUUCUUUCUCUCUCUCUCUUUCUCUCUCUCUCUCUCUCUCUCUCUGUAUUUCUUCCUCUUAUCGAUAAGUGACACAUCCCCCGAUUUGUUUUAUUCUUCUUACACAUAGCAAUAUUAAAGAGAGUAAAUAGUUAAAAGGGUUGUAUCGAUCUGGAUGGGGGAGGGAGAGG